AUAUACAACAAACAUUUAUGAACAUUCAGAGUUACUUGAACAUUACCAUCAUCCAAAACUAAUUUACAAUCACUAAAUUUAUUGUUAUUGAAUAACAACCCAUGUUUUUGUAAAGACAUUGUCAAUAUAUUUAAAUAAAUUAAU
rnacentral:sRNA from 2 species